GGCCUAGGGCAAAAUAGGGCUUCAUUUGAAGAUCAAAGGUUAGGAUUCAAAAGCUAGCUUGAAAUUCUUUCCAAAGACAUAAGAAUUGUUUUGAGAGGGUUUUGAAGGACUUAGAAAUUGUUGUUCAAAGUCAGGGUUUGUAUCAGUGAUUUGGAUUUUAUAUAAUAUAAUUAGGGCUAGCAAUUUUUGCUAGUUCGUACAAUUGAUGUAACAUCUAUGGUUGAAAUUUUGAUAUUGUUUAGAUUAUUGGAUGUACUAAGCGUAUACAAAAUUUUUUCAUAAUCUAAUGGCGUGGUUUAGAGAUAUCUAGUUUUUAGUACAAGAGGAUUCUAGAAGGUGGCAGUUUGAGGUUGGAUAGGGUUUCUAUGAUAUCUAAAGAUCUAUCAGUCAAAUUAACGUGAAAAUUGGCGUGGUGCUGGAGGACUUGAAGAUCAAGCUACACAC
rnacentral:lncRNA from 1 species